GACGAACGCUGGCGGCGUGCUUAACACAUGCAAGUCGAACGGAAAGGCCUCUUUCGGGGGGUACUCGAGUGGCGAACGGGUGAGUAACACGUGAGUAACCUGCCCUUGACUUUGGGAUAACUUCAGAAAACUGGGGCUAAUACCGGAUAGGAGCUCCUGCUGCAUGGUGGGGGUUGGAAAGUUUCGGCGGUUGGGGAUGGACUCGCGGCUUAUCAGCUUGUUGGUGGGGUAGUGGCUUACCAAGGCUUUGACGGGUAGCCGGCCUGAGAGGGUGACCGGCCACAUUGGGACUGAGAGAAGGCCCAGACUCCUACGGGAGGCAGAAGUGGGGAAUAUUGCACAAUGGGUGGAAGCCUGAUGCAGCAACGCCGUGUGCGGGAUGACGGCCUUCGGGUUGUAAACCGCUUUCGCUCAUGACGAAGCUUUGUGUGACGGUAGUGGGUAAAGAAGCACCGGCUAACUACGUG
rnacentral:rRNA from 1 species